rfam:Clostridium sp. SY8519 DNA, complete genome.
UGAUAGCUAUGAAGCGCGAGGUUGCUGCCCGAUUUGUGGCAGGUUUUCCGUGGAGCGAAUGUCAAGUUAGGAAACUGACGACAA